AACGAACGCUGGCGGCAUGCCUAACACAUGCAAGUCGAACGAGACCCUGACUUCGGUUGGACGUCUAGUGGCGCACGGGUGCGUAACGCGUGGGAACCUGCCCUUAGGUUCGGAAUAACAGCGAGAAAUUGCUGCUAAUACCGGAUAAUAUCGAAAGAUCAAAGAUUUAUCGCCAAAGGAUGGGCCCGCGUAGGAUUAGCUAGUUGGUGAGGUAAUGGCUCACCAAGGCGACGAUCCUUAGCUGGUCUUAGAGGAUGAUCAGCCACACUGGGACUGAGACACGGCCCAGACUCCUACGGGAGGCAGCAGUGGGGAAUAUUGGACAAUGGGCGAAAGCCUGAUCCAGCAAUGCCGCGUGAGUGAUGAAGGCCUUAGGGUUGUAAAG
rnacentral:rRNA from 1 species